UUCCUUUAAAAAAAAAAAAAUUCCUUUUGCUUUUCCCGUCUAGUAUUUUCUGUACAGAGUAAAUAUCAGACAUUACAGAACAGCUUCCGUUGACUGCUGUCAAUUAUCACCUUAUAUUUACAUACAAAACCGACAUUACAGGAAUGAACAAAGAAGAAUAAAAAGUCAACAGUAAUAAUAAUAAUAACAAACUGGGGCUGUUCAUGAAGGAGCUGAAGACGUUCUGGAACCCGUUAACAGUUUAAUGUUCUCUGGAGGUUCUUCCUUUGUGUGAGUUGAUUGUUUGACACGUGAAGAUAAACGGCUGUAAAUAAAGUUACAGAAUAUUUUCCCUGAACAUCAUUUGUUCUCGUUGUUUAUCUUCCAGACGUCAGCUCAUAUUUUUCCUGCAGAGAAGUUUGAUCCAUCGACAGCAGCAGGAUGAAGUCAUUCAGCGGCAGGAAUGAGGUCAGUUUAAAUAGGAAACACAUGUACACACUGAAAUACACAAUAACACACAUGUACACACUGAAAUACACAAUAACACACAUGUACACACUGAAAUACACAAUAACACACAUGUACACACUGAAAUACACAACAACACAUGCACACACUGAAAUACACAACGUAAUACACAAUAACACAUGCACACACUGAAAUACACAACGUAAUACACAAUAACACAUGCACACACUGAAAUACACAACGUAAUACACAAUAACACAUGUACACACUGAAAUACACAACGUAAUACACAAUAACACAUGCACACACUGAAAUACACAACGUAAUACACAAUAACACAUGCACACACUGAAAUACACAACGUAAUACACAAUAACACAUGCACACACUGAAAUACACAACGUAAUACACAAUAACACAUGCACACACUGAAAUACACAACGUAAUACACAAUAACACAUGCACACACUGAAAUACACAACGUAAUACACAAUAACACAUGCACACACUGAAAUACACAACGUAAUACACAAUAACACAUGUACACACUGAAAUACACAACGUAAUACACAAUAACACAUGCACACACUGAAAUACACAAUAACACAUGUACACACUGAAAUACACAACGUAAUACACAAUAACACAUGUACACACUGAAAUACACAAUAACACAUGUACACAACGUAAUACACAAUAACACAUGUACACACUGAAAUACACAAUAACACACAUGUACACAACGUAAUACACAAUAACACACAUGUAUGUACACACUGAAACACACAAUACACGUUUACAAACAAAGAACCACAAAAAAUUACACAACAAACAGUAACUCACAAAAAGUCAAUGUAAUGCACAGUAAGACACACAAACGCACAGAAACACACAAUAACACACUGCAACAACAUAAACUGACUGAAUUUAUAAGAGUUUAAGUGAAUAAAGGUCGAGAGUCAACCAUCGAUCUUUAUUCACUUAAAUUAAACUCUUGAGCUGCUUUUAGAAUUUUAACUUCAACUGAUCUUGAAAACACUUUAAAGUUCAAACUAAACUAAUGUUGUUUAAUGUGUGUGUGUUUGUUUACAGGAGCUGUGAGGACAUACAUCUGUCCAAACAGUCGCAUUGUGGGGACUCGGCUUCUUUAUGGGGACCAGAUUAUUUAAAAAGUCCUUAAAUGAAGUUUACUGAGAAGAGCUGAUUAAUAUAAAGGUCAUUUCAAGGUUAUAUGAAGGUUACAGCUCCAGGAAAUGAACGCAGCGUCCUCUGAAGUGAUGGAAACUCCACUGCAUGUGUUUGCACUCAUGGCAUCAUAUUCUCCUCCACAGAUGACCGUUGUUCACCUCAGGAAGCUUCAUGUCCAGAGAUUAGUCCGGACAGAGAGGAAGUGCUGGUCGGAGCGUCGCUGUAAUCUUUCCCCAGGAAACAGGAGCUGCUGUGGUCCGUCUGUUCUGUUCACAGGUCAAUAAACACUUUCUGUGCUUUCACUUUAAACUCUCUGGAUCCUUUUAAAAGCUCCGUGUUGAAGCCGAACACUGACGCCUCUCACAUCCUGAAAUAAUAUUUUCCAGCAGAUUUUUAUCUGGAUGGAAAAUCUGUGGAACAUUUCUGAAAUGUUUAACUGGUGAGCUAACCGAGCUCCAGACUGCAGGUGUGUUUCACUCUGCAGGGUUGUUUACUGAGCAGAACCCAGUAAAUAAAUAAAUAAACGAACAGGAGGUGGCUUCUGUCCCGGCAGCAGAACCCUGUAAAAUCAGGAAUGGGCUCUGGUUUUCUGCCAGAAGCUCUCCGAGCCACACAACAGCUCGACUGUCUGAACACAGCUCGUGCUGUUGGUUAGCCGGUCGCUAACGGUUACCAAACAAACAAGCCGGAGGUCGCCGGCGGUGCAGAGAAACAAUGGAGUCCUGAUAGAAGCCCGAACAGGCCCGAGGGCGGCGGAGAAACUGUGUAAUGUGACAUUUAGAAAGAAAAGGCUUUAUGAGGCGAGAGAGGAAGUGAUGGAGGGGAGAGUGGAAAGAGGAAAAGAUGUGAUGACGACGGACGGAAAGAAUUAAUGGGACGCUUCAACAGACUGAACUCUGCAGGAGUCCAACAAGAUUUGAGUAAAUGCCCAACAGUGAAAAAUACACGAGUUCAAAGGAGUCACAGCGAGUAAAAAGAUCCUCUCUGAUGGAGCCUCUACAGGAUGGAUGAAGUCCAGGCGGAGCUGAGACGUCGGUGCCGAUCUCUGAGCGGUACGACGUCGUUAGCGUCACCGUGGGAGGAUUCCUGUUAUCAGCCUGAAGCCAGACGCUGAAACUAAACCCUCAUGUUUGAUUUUCUGACGCUAAUGUUGGGAUUUUUAUCUCAGAAAAAACACCGAUUCUGGAGGAGUUUACAGACUAAACAAAACAAUCUGUUCUAAAGCAUUCAGAAAGAUCUGAAAGGUGUUCUGCUUAUAAAAGUCACAAAAUAAGAGGAACGGCAAUAAAAAUACAACAAAAUGAGGCAAACGACGACAAAAAGACACAAAACAACAUAAAGGGAAACACAUUAUAACAAGGCAACACUGUGUGAGUAUUGUCAUAAUCAUUUGUGUGUUUUGUUUCUCAUUUUUGUCAUUUUGUGUCUUUGUUGUUUUGUGUCUUGUUUAUGGAUUUUUGUGUCUCAUCUUGUAGUUUUUUUGCAUCUCAUUUUUGUUUUGUUUCUCAUUUCUGCCAUGAUGUCUUCUUCCUUUUGUAGUUUUUUUGUCUAGUUUUGCUGUUUUUUUCAUCUUGGCAUUAAAGUAUUGUGUCAUUAUCAUCAUUUUGUGUGUUCUUUAUGUUGCUUUGUGUCUCAUUACAGUCAUUUUGUGUCUUCUUUUGCAGUUUCUAAAAACACCGGAGAAAGAUUAAAGCAAAAUGCUGCCAAUGGCAUCAGAAACAGGAAAACCUUCAUUAACUGAUUAAUUAGUUCGAUAAUUAAUGAAUCUGUUGGUUGAUUCUUUGCUGAUGCAGCAGAAAAAUGUGCAGCUGAACCAGAAACAGUCGAAGUUCAGAAAGUCGGAGCAGCUGGAGGACGGCUGAACAAACAAGUGUUGUUGUUUAUCCUGAAAAAGCCCGAGAGACACAAAGACACAACUACACACACCUGUGAGCUAUAAAGACUGAAGUCUGCAGAUCGAGCCAACAGCUGAUUCACACAGACACACACACGGUUGUGUAGUUGUUGUUGGACACAUUUUCUCGCCCACUCUGAGGUUUUUGUUCUCAGUAGAUCAGAACCAGAACUUUGCUUCCUUUCACUGAAUCUUGGAUUUUACUUCACCUGUUCAGACACGACAACAAACAAAGACACACAAAAACUUUCUGCUUCGAUCAGUUCACAAACUCCUCACUGAUUUACCUUCAACUCUGCAGAAUUACCUUUAAACCACAAAAAACACAUUAAACUAACCUCACUCAAACCUUAAACUAACCUGAAUUUGAACUUAAACACACUUUAAACAAAUGAACCGAAUCAACUCUAAAAGAACCUCACUAACCUUUACUGUAUCCUACGCUAACCUAAAACUAACCUUAUUCUAACCUGAAAUCGUCUAAAUGAAGCCUCAGUAAACUGAACUGCUGUAAAUGUGAAUCUGUUUUAAUCAUAACUGACUGUUUACAUGUUAAACUGGAACACGCGUGUUGGAUCAAACACGUUAGUCUUUCAUCACUCAAUACUUUGAUAUGAAAUAAUAAAUAACUUAUGAAAUAUAUAAUCAGUGUUUGACUGUAAAUAAACAUGUAAACAACUAAACAGAACAUUAGAUAAACAUGUAAACUAAACAGAACAUUACAUAAACAUGUAAACAACUAAACAGAACAUUAGAUAAACAUGUAAACUAAACAGAACAUUACAUAAACAUGUAAACAACUAAACAGAACAUUGGAUAAACAUGUAAACAACUAAACAGAACAUUAGAUAAACAUGUAAACUAAACAGAACAUUACAUAAACAUGUAAACAACUAAACAGAACAUUGGAUAAACAUGUAAACUAAACAGAACAUUACAUAAACAUGUAAACUAAACAGAACAUUACAUAAACAUGUAAACAACUAAACAGAACAUUAGAUAAACAUGUAAACUAAACAGAACAUUACAUAAACAUGUAAACUAAACAGAACAUUACAUAAACAUGUAAACAACUAAACAGAACAUUGGAUAAACAUGUAAACAACUAAACAGAACAUUAGAUAAACAUGUAAACUAAACAGAACAUUACAUAAACAUGUAAACAACUAAACAGAACAUUGGAUAAACAUGUAAACUAAACAGAACAUUACAUAAACAUGUAAACUAAACAGAACAUUACAUAAACAUGUAAACAACUAAACAGAACAUUGGAUAAACAUGUAAACUAAACAGAACAUUAGAUAAACAUGUAAACAACCAAACAGAACAUUAGAUAAACAUGUAAACAACCAAACAGAACAUUAGAUAAACAUGUAAACUAAACAGAACAUUAGAUAAACAUGUAAACAACCAAACAGAACAUUAGAUAAACAUGUAAACUAAACAGAACAUUACAUAAACAUGUAAACAACCAAACAGAACAUUAGAUAAACAUGUAAACUAAACAGAACAUUACAUAAACAUGUAAACAACCAAACAGAACAUUAGAUAAACAUGUAAACUAAACAGAACAUUACAUAAACAUGUAAACAACCAAACAGAACAUUAGAUAAACAUGUAAACUAAACAGAACAUUACAUAAACAUGUAAACAACCAAACAGAACAUUAGAUAAACAUGUAAACAACCAAACAGAACAUUAGAUAAACAUGUAAACUAAACAGAACAUUAGAUAAACAUGUAAACAACCAAACAGAACAUUAGAUAAACAUGUAAACAACCAAACAGAACAUUAGAUAAACAUGUAAACUAAACAGAACAUUACAUAAACAUAUAAACAACUAAACAGAACAUUGGAUAAACAUGUAAACAACCAAACAGAACAUUAGAUAAACAUGUAAACAACCAAACAGAACAUUAGAUAAACAUGUAAACUAAACAGAACAUUAGAGAAGCACAGAUUGUUGGUAUUCUUAUCAUGUUUAAUGUUUGAUUCUCCUGCAGGAAGUUCACAGAAAUCUAAAUGAACCAACAAAUAAACAAUCCAUGUCAUAAACAAACAAUGUAAACAAACUAAUAAAUAAAACAAACGGAUCAAAUCAGCUGAUUUUAUCUGUAAAACUGAGUUAAAGUUGAACUGAAGAGACUCCAGCUGCUGAAAACACAAAAUGCUGGACAACAGCUGUGACGACAGCUGACACUAAAACUCAAACACACACACUAAACACACACACACACUAAAACACACUCCUGUCAUGUGAUCUCAGGAACUAAAGUGAGUCUUUGUUGAAGAGAAGAAGCUGCAGUGUGACAGUCAGCAGAUAGCUAACACACACACACACACACACACACACACACACACACAAGUACUACUACAACCACUACUCCUAAAGCUACUAGCACGACCACUAUCAAAUCUAAUGUUAGCCACAUUAGCAGCACAACAUGCUAAGUCCAAGGAUCAUCCUAAAGUGGUGGCUAAUGCUAAUGCUAGCCAUCCAUCCGUCCUUAUAUAUUCGUCUCUCAAACAGCUGCAGCUGAUCAUCAUCAUCACCAUCAGCUGUAAUUCUUCAGUCAGAGGAUCAUUUCUCCGUCACUAAUCCGUCGUUAGUCUUUGAACUUUAAACUUCCUGUUGGACUGAAUCCACAAAGACGACUUUAAAGGUUCAGACUGAAGGCUACACUAUAACUACUAUAGAGCAACUUAUAUUUGCUGCAUUUCUGAUGUUUUGUCAUUUUGUUUUUCCAUAGUUUUCCUUCUGGAUUAAUAAAGUUGUAUUUUAUCUGACAA